UUAAUCAUUGUUUCUAAUUCUCGCUGCUGAACAAUUUUGUCGAAGAAAUUACUAGUUUGCUUCAAAAUACGAACCUCACAGAAUCGAUUGUGAAAAUGAAGAAUGUCUACCAAAUAUUUGGUUAUUAUUAGCCCAUGUUACACCUUUACUCAAUAAUUAGAUACUUUCCCGAGAAAUUUUAAAGAUCGACACUGAUAUUAAUGUCAUCAUCACAGUGGAAAAUCGCAAUUCUCAAUCAAUAUAUAAACACGAUUAUUACAUAAGCGUGUCUGGCACGCCAGCCGGAGUCAAAAAACUAUAAGAAGCUGUGAGAGUUUAUCUGGAAGUUAGCACAAACGUGGAGAUUAAAAACAUCCGGAAAGUUUCCCCGUUUAGCAACUGUUUGAGGCGUUGGAACGCUGGCCAGCCUCCUGGAAUACGAAGAACUUUCCCGACAGUCGGUUCAUUUAAUUUAAAUGGCCUUUUAUUUUGCCUGAUCAUAUUUAGAGGGCGGCAGUUCCCGGCCACUUUGUGUAUUACAUCGCCUAUUAUUUACUUCGAACAAACAGCACCAAACAAUUACACUGAAACUUAAAUUGGGGUUUUCAAACUUCAAUAUUUUUGAACGGUAAUCUUUCUGUUUUUCACUGAAACAUUCAGUGUAUUAUUAAGACUGAAGUAAGAAAUCAGGACCAUAAAGUUUGGGAAAAUAACCGAAGUUCGCCUUUCAGAAUUUGAAACUAUUCUCUUAUUUACUCGUGUAGGCAGAUGUUUCUGUGCUAGGUUUGGGACUGAUACAUUCGUAUCUAUCUGAAAUCUUCGUACUAAUGCUUGCCCAUUUCAGAACAAAAAAUUAAAAAACUGUUUAUAUUUUUUCUGGUGCGCAUAUCUUACAAUAUAUUUACUGGAUGGUUAAUCUUAUAUGUUUCUUUCAUUUUCCAUUUCACGAGCUCUUGUGAGAACUAUUUUCUUUAAUCAGUAUUUUUGUGUUCUCAAAAGCAAAAUGAUGUAACAUUUGGUGUCCAUGUUGUGCUAAUUUUUUUGUUUUCACCAUGCUUAUGAUAUGAUCCUGAUUCCUUUGCAUUUAGUCUUAAUAAUUUUAGAUUGUUUUACGGUAUAGCAAUUUUAAAGUGUUCAAGUAAUUAGUAAUAACAGACUUCUUGACUGUUUUUUUUAA